CAGCUGGGGAACUGGCUACCUGACCACUGACGUUGUCUUGGGUGAUGACAAGGUUAGGGUGGAGUGAAGACAAGGCCUGAGGUUCUGGGGUCCCCUGUAAGUGAGGAGAACGCUGGAGAUUAAUAGAGAAGAGCAACAGAGUGUAGAGUGGUGCAGCCAGAGGCACAAUCCCCCCGCCCCAAACCAGGCUGCUGUUAUGAACCUAACACUCCAUGGAACAUGCUGUGGCAAGUGCUACCUUGGACACCUGAUUCCCAAACCCAGGUGCUGAUUUGUUACACACCCCUCAUCUCCUCACGUCGCUUCCCUUCCCCUCCAGACACACGCACCGCCUCGCUCCUCUUUGACCAUGCAAGGCAUACUUCCACCUCAGGGCCUUUGCAUUUGCUCUUCCUUCUGCCCAGAAUGCUCUUCCCUAUUUACCCCCUCUGCAUUUAGGGCGAGUGACGGGGAGGCCUUCCCUGACCGUCCGAUGCAAAACAGCACCCCGCCCCCGCUUGCUCUUCCCUACAUUCCCUGAUUUGCUUUAUUUUGCUCCGUAGCACAUGCCAUCACCUGCCUGUCUGUGUAUUUGCCUGUCUGUCCGUUGACUGUUUCCCCCUUGGAGAAGGGCUGUUCUCUGCCUCAUCCCCAUCACCUCUGAUAUGGGGUCUACUUCGGAAACAGCAUCAAAUCGUGGCAGAAGGGACUGGAAGUUCCUUUAGGGUCAUGGACAAGAGACCCACCAGGAGCAAGAUGAGAGCCACCACUCCAACGGAGCCAGAAAUGACUGUGGCUGCUGUGCCCAAACUGAGAGAAGCAAACCAGAGAAAUGAGGAUGCUCCACCCGCCUCGGCCAGCUUUGGUGACCAUCCACAGAAUUGUCCUGGGGCCUCCCUACUCCUACAGGAACUCUUCCACCUCUGGGCUCCCACUUCCCCAAAACCCACCUCCUGCCUCCAUUUUGAGCCUCUCUCCUCUGCUCCGACCUCCAGAGCCAUGGUCCCAGUCACACCCAUCCCCCUUCUGGGCCAAGCAGGCUGCUUCCCACAGCCCCCGACACUUCUCAUCCGUAGGUCCAGCUCUCCUCUCAACUACCUGCUGAGUUCAUCAGGUUUGAUCUCUGGCUUCAGCGUCGUGAGGUUCUCUACAGAAAGGGGCAGAAAGGAAGUAGAAAGGAAAUUUGAGAGUAAUUUUUACACACAUGCUCUUGACUGAAUGUCUCCUGCUGAAAUUCGUAUGUUAAAUCCUAGCCCCCAACGUGAAGGUAUUAGGAAAUGGGUCCUUUGGGAGGUAGUAGGUCAUGAGGGUAGAGCCCUCAUGAAUAGGAUUAGUGCCCUGAUAAAAGAGACCCCGUAGGGGGUGCCUGGGUGGCUCAGUCGGUUAAACGUCCGACUUCAGCUCAGGUCACGAUCUCACGGUCCGCGAGUUCGAGCCCCGCGUCGGGCUCUGGGCUGAUGGCUCAGAGCCUGGAGCUUGCUUCCGAUUCUGUGUCUCCCUCUCUCUGCCCCUCCCCCGUUCAUGCUGUGUCUCUCUCUCUGUCUCAAAAAUAAAUAAACGUUAAAAAAAAAAAAAAGAGACCCCGUGGAUCCCCCCUGACCCCCUCUACCAUGUGAGGACACAGUGAGAAGACAGCUGUCUAUGACCCAGGAUGUGGGCUCUCACCAGACACUGAAUGUGCCAGUGCUUUAA